rnacentral:lncRNA from 1 species
GAGCGAGGAAACAGGGCCAGAGAAUUGGAACAAAAUACAAGGCUGCCUCUGAAAGGAAUAUCUUUGUGCUGAUGUGUCCAUCAAGAGAACAUACACAGAAGUGACACUUGCCAGUAAUUUGCAAGCAGAUGGAACUUCAAUAUGGCAAUAGAGAAAGAAUCAAUUAGACCAGAGUCUCCUCAGGAAGACUUUCUAUAGAUAUCUGGUGAGCAUCUGCUAGAUGCCAGGGUUGGGGAGAGUCAAGUUGAAGCAAGCAUGAACCCUCAAGGACCUACCAUUUCAAGGCAAGAAAUAGAUACAAAUACAGCGUAAUUAUCUCUCCAAUUAAAGAGCAACCAAGGGACAACUGAACUGGAGGUUCUGCAGAAUUACAACUAAGCACGCAGCCGAGGAAUCUACUCAGCUUUGAUCUCUUAUCGCUCUGCACACACAGCCCUUUCUCUGUAAGGCUAGCUGCUCUCAGCAUCACUGUGUCUAAUCAAACGUGUCACACCUCCACUGAGAAAAUAUUUACUGGAUAGCUACUAGACAUAAGGAUGCAGAAAUGAAUUAGAAAAAUUCCUCGCCCUUGUUCAAAGCUAUGCUGGCUCUUAGAACAUCUGAGCCCCCACUGUUUCAUCUUUAGAGGAUCCCAGCUGCUGGGGUGUGAGGCCAGUGCUGGAGCCAGCAGUCUCUGACCCAGAAGGGACCUGAGGUGCUAAAGAAAAGGGUACAAGCUGGAAAAGGGGAAAAUGAAUCAUGCUACAGGCCAAGUGUCCAUCACUGAUUCCCAGAGAUGCCCUUUGUGUGGUAGGCACUUCCAUGUGGACUCGCUACAGAGUUUGGAGUUCCUGAACAACAUGGACAGUGUUAAUUUGGAUUCCAUGCUUCAUGGCACAGAAUUGGAGCACUAACUACUCAGUGAUGACUUUCUCUUCCUCUAGCUAAGGUGAUCAACAAGUUUCCUUGUUCUUUCUCCAAGUAGUAGAAGAAAGUAAAGGUCAUAAGACCCUAAUUCCAGAGGGCCCUACCCUAUAACCAGAAGGAAGAACUAUUGCACAGAGAAUCUAAGAAGAAUCUAGACAGACAGCCCUUGCUGGAUUUCUCCACUCUGUUAGCAUUCGAUCAUUUGCCUUUUGUCCAGUCAUAUUUCUGCAUGGCUGUCCAUACUUUGUUGAACCUAAGCACAAAAUGGAAAGUUUUCCCUGUAUCUUUGGGUCGUCAUUCUGAAGGCUCCCAUGUUAUGUAAAACUAUGAUCAAAUAAAUAUGCAUGCCUUUUCUCCUAUAA